rnacentral:rRNA from 1 species
UACGAAGGGGGCUAGCGUUGCUCGGAAUCACUGGGCGUAAAGCGCACGUAGGCGGAUUGCUAAGUCAGGGGUGAAAUCCUGGAGCUCAACUCCAGAACUGCCCUUGAUACUGGCGGUCUCGAGUCCGGGAGAGGUGAGUGGAACUGCGAGUGUAGAGGUGAAAUUCGUAGAUAUUCGCAAGAACACCAGUGGCGAAGGCGGCUCACUGGCCCGUAACUGACGCUGAGACACGAAAGCGUGGGUAGCAAACAGG